CGGCAGGCUGGGAGCCGCGGCCCCGCGGACACGGCGGGGUAAUUAAGGAGCCGGCAGUAAUUGGAAACAGCCCCGCUUCUCCCACAGCAAUAAGGUUGUCCAAAAUGAUCUAUACAACCUCAUAUUUACCCCUGAGCAAGAAUUCUCAGCCAGGCAAUACCUACAGCAAGG
rnacentral:lncRNA from 12 species